rnacentral:lncRNA from 1 species
UCACUAUUAGAAAUUAUAUCUGAUCUACCAUGGUCAUCAAUUUGUAAGUCAUGUUCUAUCUUUGUUGCUAUUAAAUCGUCUUUAUGUCUCUACAAUUCUACAACUCUGAUUUCUUUUGGUAGAAAUGCCUUUACCUCACCGCCUCUUCUAAAUUGUCAUGCCGUUGUCGUAUUACGUGAAGUCUUGCUUGAGAAUGCACCGAGCACCUGGCUGUAGAAGGUAAAAGAAAAUUACAACAAAGGGUCCUAACAAUCUAAUAGGAUUAUAGAGAAUUUAGAAUUAAACGUUAACAAUCAUAAUCAAAUAUUAAGCAAGCUCAAUUAAACUUUAUUGGAGUUAUAAAAGAAACAUAAGGAAAUCUUAAAGAAAUAUAAAAGAAUAUUAACGAAAACUUAGUCAAACCCUAACAAAAAUCUAAUAGAACCUUAAAUUCUAACCAAAUUCUAAUCCUAAUCCAACCUUAAUCAAAUCCUAGACAAAUCCUAAAUCCUAAACUAAAUCCUAAUCAAACCUUAAUCCCUAAUCAAAUCCUAAUCCAAAUCCUAAACCCUAAACCAAAUCCUAUCAAAAUCCUAAACCCUAAACCAAAUCCUAUCCAAAUCCUAAACCUUAAACCAAACCCUAAUCUAAAUCCUAAAUCCUAAACCAAAUCCUAAUCCAAACCCUAAAUCC